rnacentral:lncRNA from 1 species
AUCGUUCCACCUGCCUCCCCCAAACCCCACGAAGCCAUCACCACUAGAACAAUCUGCAGUUAACCCGCCACCACCACCACCCUCCGGAUACAGCUCGACAACACCAGAACCUGCACUCACCUCCUCGUUGCUCCACAGCCGCUGCUGCACCUACAGGUGUGGAUUGUGUGCAAUUGUAGGUAUACGGUGGUUGGCUUGAAGUAUCACCGUCAAAUAUUUGUGGGUUUGGUCCUAAUUUAUCAAAUGUGAGAGGAUUUGGUGAUUGCUAGGAAGUCAAAUGCGAGACAUAUGAAAAGAUCUUUCCUUUCAAGAACAUUUGCGCUAGGAGAAAGGUAAUCUAUAUCAGGGUACACUCAGUGGAAGAUGGGGCAUGGCUGGGUCUGAAUGAAGAGAGGCCAGAAACUACCAUCUUCCGACAAGUUAAGUUGCGGCAGGUGCUUUUCGAUACAUAACAGGUCUGCGAAUCAAAUUGUAGUUUAACUCAUACAAUGUCAAACUUCAAAUGUUUGUCAUCCUCGCCACAGCACGCGGGUUGAAAGCACUACUACUGUUUUAGUAUGGUGAUAUAAACAAACUCCUAUGUAAUUUUUGGUUGUUUGAAUGUGAAUUACUGU